UUACAACUGCUUCCAAUUUCUUAAACUCCUUACAACCUGGCCACAAAUCUUGAUCUGCCUUUUCAAGCAACCUAAAAAAAGUCUCCACCUCUUCUGGACACCCUUCCCUAAUAGGGGUUUAGUAGACGGCCCAACAACUUCUUCUGUUAAUGGUUGGACAAAUACAUCAUUAAGAAAAUCAUGCAUGCCAAUCACCUCAUCUCCUGUUUCUUCUUCUCCAAUUGCCAUAUUUUGCUCUCUAAUGUUUUGCUCGCCAUGAUGUCGCCACCAAGCGUUUUUGUAAUCUUUACCCAUAUCAUACAUUAUGAGAUGUUCAACAAUAGUGUUCCUAAUAAAAGUAUAUCGAUUACAACAUCUUUUGCAAGGACAUCUAAACUUAUCAGGACCAACACCAUUUGCAAUUGCUUGAUCCAAAAACAAAUUGAUUCCAGCUGUAUACGCUUCAAAAUUUCAAGGUAUUGUCAACCAACUCUUGUCCAUGCUUUACCACUUUAAGAGGGCAAAAUAUUAUGUUCACACUAAGAUGCCUACAAUCUUUCAAUCCAUAUCAUGUAGGCAUAACUAUUAGAAUUUUCAAUUUCUAUCUUUCAACCCUUGAACUCUACCACAAUUGCAAUCUUUUAAUUUUCAACACCUAUUAUAGUAAAAAUAAAUUAAAAUAACAAUAAAAAGUUAUCAAAAUUAUGCUCAUCUAAUCCAUUCUAAUAAAUACCAACCAAAAGUUAUCAAAGUUAUCAAAAUAACAACAAAAAACAAAUUAAAAUAACAAUUAGAGUGCAAAACAAAUUAAUUUAACAUAAUAUAUUCUUAUAUUACUAAAUAUUAUAAGUUUAUGUUAUAUUUAAUAUUUUUAAUUUAACAUAAAUGCUAAUAAAUAUUAUUCAUUUCCAUUUUCUCAUAACAAUUCAAGUGACAAAAUUAAUUAAUUCGACUAAAUAUAAAUUAAUUUAACAAAAAUAGUAGCAAUUUAUCUAAGUACUUAAAUUAGAAUUUUUAAAUAAAUAAACUUGUGUAUUAUACAAUUUAAAAAUUAAAGAAUUUAGUGAUAGAAACCUGAAUUAUGGAAGAAUUCCGUCAUCGAUCAAUUCUUUAUGUACUCAAGCAGCACAAAUAAAUUCCCUACAAAAAUGAAUUGUAAAUAAAAAUUAAACAUAAGAGGAGAAAAUAAAAAUAUUAGAAGUAAGAAAAACUUACUGUUGUGAAGAAGAAACAAAUAAGAAAGGUCCAUGAGAGAGAACACGAGGAGGGUUUGUAAGAGAGGAAGAACAAAUAAGAAAAAUGCAAGAGAGGAAGAAGAAAACACGGGGGAGAGUAUAUAA
rnacentral:lncRNA from 1 species